AUUGAACGCUGGCGGCAGGCCUAACACAUGCAAGUCGAACGAGUGGCGGACGGGUGAGUAAUGUCUGGGAAACUGCCUGAUGGAGGGGGAUAACUACUGGAAAAGGUAGCUAAUACCGCAUACCAUCAGAUGUGCCCAGAUGGGAUGAGCUAGUUGGUGGGGUAACGGCUCACCCAGGCGACGAACCCUAGCUGGUCUGAGAGGAGGACUGCACACAUGGGACCUGAGACACGGUCAAGACGCCUACGGGAGGCAGCAGUGGGGAAUAUUGGGCAAUGGGCGCAAGCCUGAUGCAGCCAUGCCGCGUGUAGGACGAAGGCCUUCGGGUUGUAAAGUACUUUCAGCGGGGAGGCGUUACCCGCAGAAGAAGCGCCGGCUAACUCCGUGCCAGCAGCCGCGGUAAUUC
rnacentral:rRNA from 1 species